rnacentral:rRNA from 1 species
AUUGAACGCUGGCGGCAGGCCUAACACAUGCAAGUCGAACGAGUCGCGGACGUGUUAUUUAUGUCUGGGCCACUGCCUGAUGGAUGACGAUCACUACUGGAAACGGUAGCUGCUUCCGCAUUCCAUCGGAUGUGCCCAGAUGGGAUUGGCUAGUAGGGGGGGUAAAGGCCCACCUAGGCGACGAUCCCUAGCUGGUCUGAGAGGAUGACCAGCCACACUGGAACUGAGAAACGGUCCAGACUCCUACGGGAGGCAGCAGUGGGGAAUAUUGGAAAAUGGGCGAAAGCCUGAUGCAGCCAUGCCGCGUGUAUGAAGAAGGCCUUCGGGUUGUAAAGUACUUUCAGCGGGGAGGCGUUACCCGCAGAAGAAGCACCGGCUAACUCCGUGCCAGCAGCCGCGGUAAUAC